rnacentral:rRNA from 1 species
UACGGAGGGGGCUAGCGUUGUUCGGAAUUACUGGGCGUAAAGCGCACGUAGGCGGCUUUGUAAGUUAGAGGUGAAAGCCCGGGGCUCAACUCCGGAAUUGCCUUUAAGACUGCAUCGCUAGAAUCGUGGAGAGGUGAGUGGAAUUCCGAGUGUAGAGGUGAAAUUCGUAGAUAUUCGGAAGAACACCAGUGGCGAAGGCGACUCACUGGCCCGUUACUGACGCUGAGGCGCGAAAGCGUGGGGAGCAAACAGG